AGCGAACGCUGGCGGCAGGCUUAACACAUGCAAGUCGAACGGAUCCUUCGGGAUUAGUGGCGGACGGGUGAGUAACACGUGGGAAUGUGCCUUUAGAUACGGAACAACUCAGGGAAACUUGAGCUAAUACCGUAUGUGCCCUUAGGGGGAAAGAUUUAUCGCCUUUAGAGCAGCCCGCGUCUGAUUAGCUAGUUGGUAGGGUAAAGGCCUACCAAGGCGACGAUCAGUAGCUGGUCUGAGAGGAUGAUCAGCCACAUUGGGACUGAGACACGGCCCAAACUCCUACGGGAGGCAGCAGUGGGGAGUCUUGCGCAAUGGGAGAAAGCCUGACGCAGCCAUGCCGCGUGAAUGAUGAAGGUCUUAGGAUUGUAAAAUUCUUUCAGUGGGGACGAUAAUGACGGUACCCACAGAAGAAGCCCCGGCUAACUUCGUGCCAGCCGCCGCGGUAA
rnacentral:rRNA from 1 species